rnacentral:rRNA from 1 species
AGGACGAACGCUGGCGGCGUGCUUAACACAUGCAAGUCGAGCGGUAAGGCCUUUCGGGGUACACGAGCGGCGAACGGGUGAGUAACACGUGGGUGAUCUGCCCUGCACUUCGGAUAAGCCUGGGAAACUGGGUCUAAUACCGGAUAUGACCUCCUAUCGCAUGGUGGGUGGUGGAAAGUAUUUAGUCGGUGCAGGAUGGGCCCGCGGCCUAUCAGCUUGUUGGUGGGUAAUGGCCUACCAAGGCGAACG